CCUACGGGAGGCAGCAGUGAGGAAUAUUGGUCAAUGGGCGCGAGUCUGAACCAGCCAAGUAGCGUGAAGGAUGACUGCCCUACGGGUUGUAAACUUCUUUUAUAUAGGAAUAAAGUGAGGCACGUGUGCCUUUUUUUAUGUAUUUUAUGAAUAAGGAUCGUCUAACUCCGUGCCAGCAGCAGCGGUAAUACGGAGGAUCCGCGCGUUAUCCGGAUUGAUUGGGUGUAAAGGGAGCGUAGAUGGGUUGUUAAGUCAGUUGUGAAAGUUUGCGGCUCAACCGUAAAAUUGCAAUUGAUACUGGAAGCCUUGAGUACAGUUGAGGUAGGCGGAAUUCGUGGUGUAGCGGUGAAAUGCUUAGAUAUCACGAAGAACUCCGAUUGCGAAGGCAGCUUACUAAACUGCCACUGACAUUGAUGCUCGAAAGUGUGGGUAUCAAACAGGAUUAGAUACCCGGGUAGUC
rnacentral:rRNA from 1 species